UGGACUUGAGAGCCUGGGUCGUGUACUAGAUGGAAGCAAGAAGCCAGGUACAUUGAAGUUGCCUGUUUUAAGUCACAUCACGGAUAAUUUCUCCGAUAAUCGAAAAAUCGGCGAAGGUGGCUGUAGCCAUGUCUACAAGGGCAUCCUCCCGAGUGGCAAGAUGGUUGCUGUCAAGAAGCUUUCCAAAAACCAAACGAUAGAUGAGAGGAUGUUUCAGCAGGAGGUCCAAACCAUGAUGAAUGUUAAGCACCAAAAUAUAGUUGGGUUUAUAGGGUACUGCUCUCAUACAGAACAAGAAGCGGUGAAAAUGACAAGAAAACAUGUUUUUGCCGAUGAUCGGGAAAGGCUGCUCUGUUUUGAGUAUAUCAGCAAGGGAAGUCUUGAGGACCAUGUAACCGAUGAAUUAAGGGGACUUGAAUGGCAUAUUCGUUUUCAAAUUAUUAAGGGGAUUUGUCAGGGUUUGCAUCAUCUUCAUAAGGAAAAGAGUAUUAUUCAUAUGGAUCUCAAGCCUGCCAACAUACUAUUAAAUGAUGAUUUGGUGCCAAAGAUAACAGAUUUUGGCAUAUCAAGAUCUGGGGAAACAUCAGAAACUAUGAGUGAAGUUCGUAUGU